AUAAAAAAAAUCACAAAAGAGAAAAAAAAUGGUAGAUAAUAAGAAAAAUAAAUUGUAAAAAGAUAAUAAACCCAGCUCACAUCAAGUUAGAAGACUUAAGGAGUAAAGUGAGAAGUUGAUGAAAGAAAAUCUCUAAAAACUUUAUAGCUAAUACUCAACCAUUAACUAGGUCGAAUUAUUAAUCCGAUAAAGUAUCUCUUUAACGGUCUGACC
rnacentral:lncRNA from 1 species